GGUAGCUUGCUCCGCUGACGAGUGGUGAACGGGUGAGAAAUGGGUCGGAACGUGCCGAGUAGUGGGGGAUAACUAUCCGAAAGGAUAGCUAAUACCGCAUACGCUUUGAGAAGGAAAGCAGGGGAUCUUAGGACCUUGCGCUAUUCGAGCGGCCGACGUCUGAUUAGCUAGUUGGUGAGGUAAGAGCUCACCAAGGCGACGAUCAGUAGCGGGUCUGAGAGGAUGAUCCGCCACACUGGGACUGAGACACGGCCCAGACUCCUACUGGAGGCAGCAGUGGGGAAUUUUGGACAAUGGGCGCAAGCCUGAUCCAUCCAUGCCGCGUGUCUGAAGAAGGCCUUCGGGUUGUAAAGGACUUUUGUCAGGGAGGAAAUCCCUAGCGCUAAUAUCGCUGGGGGAUGACAGUACCUGAAGAAUAAGCACCGGCUAACUACGUGCCAUCAGCCGCGGUAAUACGUAUGGUGCAAGCGUUAAUCGGAAUUACUGGGCGUAAAGCGUGCUCAGGCGGUUGUGUAAGUCUGAUGUGAAAGCCCCGGGCUUAACCUGGGAACUGCAUUGGAGACUGCACAGCUUGAGUGCGUCAGAGGGGGGUAGAAUUCCGCGUGUAGCAGUGAAUGCGUAGAGAUGCGGAGGAAUACCGAUGGCGAAGGCAGCCCCCUGGGAUGACACUGACGCUCAUGCACGAAAGCGUGGGGAGCAAACAGGAUUAGAUACCCUGGUAGUCCACGCCCUAAACGAUGUCAACUAGCUGUUGGGGGUUUGAAUCCUUGGUAGCGUAGCUAACGCGAGAAGUUGACCGCCUGGGGAGUACGGCCGCAAGGUUAAAACUCAAAGGAAUUGACGGGGACCCGCACAAGCGGUGGAUGAUGUGGAUUAAUUCGAUGCAACGCGAAAAACCUUACCUGGUCUUGACAUGUACAGAACUUUCCAGAGAUGGAUUGGUGCCCGAAAGGGAGCUGUAACACAGGUGCUGCAUGGCUGUCGUCAGCUCGUGUCGUGAGAUGUUGGGUUAAGUCCCGCAACGAGCGCAACCCUUGCCAUUAGUUGCUACCAUUCAGUUGAGCACUCUAAUGGGACUGCCGGUGACAAACCGGAGGAAGGUGGGGAUGACGUCAAGUCCUCAUGGCCCUUAUGACCAGGGCUUCACACGUCAUACAAUGGUCGGUACAGAGGGUCGCGAAGCCGCGAGGUGGAGCCAAUCUCAUAAAACCGAUCGUAGUCCGGAUCGCACUCUGCAACUCGAGUGCGUGAAGUCGGAAUCGCUAGUAAUCGCGGAUCAGCAU
rnacentral:rRNA from 1 species